UACGAGGGGGGCAAGCGUUGUUCGGAAUUAUUGGGCGUAAAGGGAGCGUAGGCGGUUCGGUAAGUCACUUGUGAAAUCUCUGGGCUCAACUCAGAGUCUGCAAGCGAAACUGCCGGGCUGGAGUAUGGGAGAGGUGAGUGGAAUUCCUGGUGUAGCGGUGAAAUGCGUAGAUAUCGGGAAGAACACCAAUGGCGAAGGCAGCUCGCUGGGACGGUACUGACGCUGAGACGCGAAAGCGUGGGGAGCAAACAGG
rnacentral:rRNA from 1 species